GGUGGUGCAUGGCCGUUCUUAGUUGGUGGACCGAUUUGUCUGGUUGAUUCCGUUAACGAACGAGACCCCCGCCUGCCGAUUGGGCGAUGGCUUCGUUCACAGUCCGCCCCUUUCCCCGGUGAUUAUAUCGGUCGGGGGCUGGUGGUGGGCGUUGAUGAUCAAGUCCAUGGUGGUCGGCCCUGCUCCCGCGGGGUCGGCCAGAAUCCUGCGCGGGAAGGGGCAUCCCUGACUCGGGCGCGUCAUCUGAUUUCGCGUCCGACCAAGGUGCCUCCUCCGCCAUGUCCAUCGGAGGGACUCUCGGCGACCAGCCGAGGGAGGUCGGGGGCGAUAACAGGUCUGUGAUGCCCUUAGAUGUUCCGGGC
rnacentral:rRNA from 12 species